UACAGAGGUCUCAAGCGUUGUCCGGAUUUAUUGGGCGUAAAGAGCGUGUAGGCGGCUUGGCAAGUCCGCUGUGAAAACUCGAGGCUCAACCUCGAGACGUCGGUGGAAACUGCCUGGCUAGAGUCCGGAAGAGGAGAGUGGAAUUCCUGGUGUAGCGGUGAAAUGCGCAGAUAUCAGGAGGAACACCAAUGGCGAAGGCAGCACUCUGGGACGUGACUGACGCUGAGACGCGAAAGCGUGGGGAGCGAACAGG
rnacentral:rRNA from 1 species